AUGCGUCAGAGGCGGUUCGUGGGCCAGGCUAGCAGCGUGGGCAGAUGGGUUUCUAGGCGGCCGUCGACCGCCGACGAGGUGUGUCUGUUUUGUCCCAACGCGGCCGUCAUUUUGGAGAUUCAGAAGCAAGGAGGGGAGAGAGUGGAAGAACAGGCGACCGACAGGAUGGCUCAUGCAAUCAGGAGAUCCAAUCUGAUUGAGGAGGUUGGGGGAGAUUCUAGUGCUGGAAGGGUCGCCGGCACAUGGCGCCAGGCGGACAGUGGUCAAGGUGACGCUGCAGGAGGCCACGGGUGUGAGCGCCAAAGGGCGGAUCUGCGGCGUGGCUGAAGCGGCGGCAGUGGCAAGGGGCAGCGGCAGUGACAAGGGGCAGCCCGCCUCUGACUUCCGAGCUGUCGACGGGGAAGAUGAAUCCUCAGGCUCCUCGUUAGAACAAGAGUUUGGUUUAAUUUCUGCGGGGAAGACUCCAUGGUGUGACAUGAAUUAGCGUGCAAACUGUCUGUUCUGAAUUGGAAUUAAAUUCAACAUUGCUAUGAAGAUUUACGCUUUUAGGUUGAGGAUUGGAGUCUCUGCCCCAAGCUUGACACCUUGCUCACCCCGCAUAAGCGCUUUUGAGAAGGCAGUUAGGGUCUUCAUAGAAAACCCGACUGAAGAUGAGCCAUGGCUUGUAAUUUGGCAGUGGUAAUCUGGUUCGCGGACCAGGAAAUUCGCUUUCCGUUAGGUGGAUGGCUUGAAUCAUUCGCUGCAGGCCGGUGGCUCCCCGACUGCGGUAUCCAAAUCCAUUUCCAGUCAGCGGGGUGCUGCAGCGCACAUGACUCCAUUCCAGUGAUGGAGUUCCUAAUGCAGCCAAUUAGAAGGUAUCCUAUUGUGGAGGAGGUGAGUGAGAGUGAGCAGGAGAUGGAUCUGCCAGCGAACAGGGCGGUGACGACUUUCCUGAUAGAUGAACCAUCGGCGGCCUAUCCGCGUAGAUGUGUGAGUUACAGAACGUCGUGUUGGGAAGAUGGAAGAGCCCGUCGCAGCAGUCUGAACUAUCAACUGGUAAGAUGAACCUGCAGGCGCUGUGAUGGUCUAAAAGGUGCGCGCGUGUAAGCUUGGAUUGGAUCUGAAUUUAUUGAGAAUGCUUGAAUGAAAUUGUAGUAGAAUGCAUAGAUCUAUCGAUGUAGUGACAUUCAUUCGGUAGCAUGAGAAAUUGUCUACAUGGAACUUUUAGAGCACGUUUGUAUUAAUAAUUGACUACACUGUACUAGUUGAAAUUAGCUCAUGAUUGAGCAAUUCUGUAGAAAAAAAGUACAUGCCGUUCGGACAAUUUGUCGGUUGAAAAACCAUAACCAGAGUGUGAUCUUAGCUGGCGUCCUGGUACACGAUGAGACCGUGUAGAGUUUUGAGUGGUUUUUUUUACUGAAUUCUUGAGGAUUAUGGGACCUGUAGCACCAAGGACAAUCCUAACAGGUAUGUUGAUUAAGGACAUUUCUUAAAAAGAGUACUUGAAGAUGGUGCUGGUAGUAUGAUGAUAUGAUUGUUUCUUGUUUUUGUUCAUGUGCAGACCAGAAUCGAGCUGCGGAGGUCGCAAUUAAGAGUGUGAUGCUUGUUGGUGUGCCGACGGCCGGGGCACAAGAGAACUACUCCCUCCGUUUCUAAAUCCUUGGAAGCCGACGAGGUGCAAAAAUUGUGGUGUGGUGGGGCACCAAAGGAAUAAUUUUACGAAAGCAAUGGACCUGAGGUUAGCUGGUGGCGUGUAGUGUCUACAGCCGGGCAGAUGGAUAUAGUCGUCAGUGCGGGCGACGACGGCUCUAUGGUGACCUUGCAUGCAGGUAUCAGCAGAUGAUGCAGAGGGGACAUUGUCGAGCAAGCGUCAAAUGUGGCAAUGCAGAGUGAGGAUGCAAUAAAGUAUUGGACUGACGCUUCAGAAGGCGUGACACGUUCCACUGGACUAGGUGCCGGAAUAUGAUCCAGUCAACCUGGCGGCUGUUGAUGUUGUUAGGGAGGGCUAAGGUGAUUAUGAUCCAGUAAUGAAUCAUGGAGAUGAGUCGAACAAAUUGUUCGGUGUCGACAAUGGAUCCGUCAUCCGUUGCUGGAAAUGGGUGUGUUAUUCCGACGAGGAGUAUGCAGAAGUGAGAAAUUCUGAACCAAAACGACAGCGGCUCGUUUUGGGAAGAACCAGGAUCAGUUUGCUGGCGUUGCGUCGGGUAAUGAUGUCAUUACCCGCCUAGUGCUAGUGUUGUGAUGCAAUCCAUGUACAAGUUUGUUGUGUUGUCAUGGUUAAUUAAGAUUCAUAAUCAUCAUAUCACAUUUGUCUUGUGACCGUGUUCGUUGGCGAUCAUGCAAAGUAAUGUGACGGCUUGAACGGCCUUCUAUGGAAC
rnacentral:rRNA from 1 species